AAGAGAAGGCUGCAGCAGGGAGGCUGGGAGGGAAGUGCCAAUGCACAGAAGACCACCUAAAGAACAACAGGCGCAGAUUGUUAGGCAGAGAGUUCAAGUUGGGAUGGAGUCUUAUACCCUUGUCCUGGGUCAGUAUACGUGGAGACAACAGAAGGUGCAGAUCCACAAAAGCCUUUUAUAAAACUAUGGCCUCUUCAAGACACUUACCAGCAAAUGUAAAUCUGUGAUUUUUGGUUUUGGAGUGGAAAACUGCAGAAAU